AACGAACGCUGGCGGCAGGCCUAACACAUGCAAGUCGAGCGAAGCCUUCGGGCUUAGCGGCGGACGGGUGAGUAACGCGUGGGAACGUGCCCUUUGGUACGGAAUAGCACCGGGAAACUGGGAGUAAUACCGUAUGUGGUCGAGAGACGAAAGAUUUAUCGCCAAAGGAUCGGCCCGCGUUGGAUUAGGUAGUUGGUGGGGUAAUGGCCUACCAAGCCGACGAUCCAUCGCUGGUUUGAGAGGAUGAUCAGCCACACUGGGACUGAGACACGGCCCAGACUGCUACGGGAGGCAGCAGUGGGGAAUCUUAGACAAUGGGGGAAACCCUGAUCUAGCCAUGCCGCGUGAUCGAUGAAGGCCUUAGGGUUGUAAAGAUCUUUCAGUGGGGAAGAUAAUGACUGUACCCACAGAAGAAGCCCCGGCUAACUCCGUGCCAGCAGCCGCGGUAACAC
rnacentral:rRNA from 1 species